rnacentral:rRNA from 1 species
UUUAUAUGAGAGUUUGAUCCUGGCUCAGUAUGAACGCCGGCGGUGUGCCUAAUACAUGCAAGUCGUACGCACUGGCCCAACUGAUUGAUGGUGCUUGCACCUGAUUGACGAUGGAUCACCAGUGAGUGGCGGACGGGUGAGUAACACGUAGGUAACCUGCCCCGGAGCGGGGGAUAACAUUUGGAAACAGAUGCUAAUACCGCAUAACAACAAAAGCCACAUGGCUUUUGUUUGAAAGAUGGCUUCGGCUAUCACUCUGGGAUGGACCUGCGGUGCAUUAGCUAGUUGGUAAGGUAACGGCUUACCAAGGCGAUGAUGCAUAGCCGAGUUGAGAGACUGAUCGGCCACAAUGGAACUGAGACACGGUCCAUACUCCUACGGGAGGCAGCAGUAGGGA